rnacentral:miRNA from 1 species
UAUCAAUAUUGUCUCUGC